GGAAAAACAAGUGCCUUUCAUUGAUUACAGGACAGACAACAGAUAAACAUUAAGCACAAUCCGAAUCCAAAAUAGCAGAGAAAAAAAAAACAUCAAACGAACACAGAGUUCAUUUCAGCAAUGGUAAAUGUCGACAUCAAAUCAUUGGCUAAUGAUGAUGACCAGAACAUGAUAUUAGAAGUACAGCAUUUCAGCCUUUACAGAGAAUGUUACCCAAUCAGUACAAAACAACUUAACCUAUACACAUCACAGCUUCCUCCAGGAAACACCGACACUAAUGUGACUAAAAGCAACAAUAUACACGUUGGUAACGGCGUGAGACUCCUUUUAUUUGCCUUGAGGGACACAGCUUCUCUGAUCUGAAUUACUUGGAUUUCAUGCUCAUUGAUGCAUUCUGAUUCAGUGUUUUAGUUUUAUCACCGCUGUUCAAUCCAUACUGCAAUGAAAAAUAUGAAUACCAUAAGAGGCGCAAUCUGCAAACAAAUAUAAUUCAAAUAAUUGCACAAAAAAGACUACACUUUGUAAGUAUUUCAUUUCACACCAUAGUUAUUAAAGGCUCAAGGCGCACUAAGGCGCCAAGGAGUCCUAGAGCCUAGUUGCAAGGCGCAAGGCUCAGGCGCACGCCUGAGCGAGGUAAAGCGCAAAAGUAAAAAAUUUUAAAAGUUCAUAAAAAUCAAAUAAAUGUGAUGCUUUUCUUUUUUUUCCUUUGGCAUAUAUCUUGAAUUGGGUUUGCUGGUUUGAGUUUAAGUGGUUGUCCUUUUUGCCAAUGAAAGUGCUCGCUAAAGAUAGAAAUAAAGAAAGCAUGCCUUUCUAGAACCUUGUGCCUGGAACAAAGGCGCACACCUAGGCGCAUAAGGCGCUAGGGUUCGAGCCUGGUGAGCCUUGAGCCUGAGGCGUGCCUGAGGCGCGCCUUUAAUAACUAUGGUUUUUUUGAAGCACUAGUACUUGUAACCUCCAGUACUUGCCUUCUUCUUUCACUGCCAAUUUCUUGCAUCAACUCUUCCUCUUCCUCAUUUUCAUCUAAUCCCAGUACUUCAACAUCAUCAAAUUCAGGUGGUCUUUCCAUAUUCAUAAUUGAUUUUUGCUCUCUUUUUUUAGCAAUGAAUUCCUGCAUUUGAUUCCUUACAUCUUCUGGACAUUUUGGACACCGAACUACAUUUUUGUAACCUCCAGCAAGAUGUUGCUUGAUUCUAUUAAUUCCUCCUUUAUAAACUUUCAUACAGUACAUACAUUGAAAAUCAUUGUUAUUAUUUUCACUGACUUGAAUUACAUGUGCCCAUCUUAGGUCCGUUCUUCUACUACUAGCAGAAGAUCCAGAUGUAUUAUUCUUAUCACCCAUUUAUAAUCUAACAAAAAAAUUAACAAGAAUAAAAAAUAAAUAAAUUAACAACAAAUUAACAAUACCCAAUAUAAAUUAAAUAAGUAAUUAACAAGAAUGAUAAGUAAAAAGUAAAACAGUAAACUAAUUAACAACAAAUUAACAAUGCCCAUAUAAAUUAAUCAACAAAUUAACAAUUAAUUAACAAGAAUAAAAAGUAAAAGUAACAAAAAAUUAACAAAUUAACAAUACCUAUAUGAAUUAAUUAACAAAUUAACAAGAAUAAAAAGUAUAAGUACCAAGAAAUUAACAAUGCCCAUGUAAAUUAACAAUACCCAUACAAUAGAAUUCAAGAAGAGAGAUGGAGGAGAAAAAGAGACAAACAAAAGUAAAAAGAAAAAAAAAUGUGCAAAACAACAUUGCUGUGUUGAGAGAAGAACAGAUUGGAGGAGAAGAAAGAGAGAAUAGAAGAAGGA
rnacentral:misc_RNA from 1 species